GGGCCCGUGGCGCAGUUUGGGAGCGCGACAGACUGGCAGUCUGUAGGUCAGGGGUUCGAAUCCCCUCGGGUCCACCA
rnacentral:tRNA from 1 species